rnacentral:lncRNA from 1 species
AAAGAACAUGGAAUGAAUUUAUGUAUUAAUCAAUGCAUACAUAUCCCACAUAGCGACAUAAAACCUUGUAGUCUCACGUUCAGAAUUUACGGCGACCAAGAGAAUGCAAAGAUUGCUAACAAAAUCCUCACUAUAAAUUGGACUAUCAAGCAAUCGAGGGCCGUCAAAUAUUCACGAAUGCAAUUAGAUAUAAAUUCCAACAUCAGAACAUGAUAAAAUCCAUCACCCCAAAAAGGCUUUCAUAUCAACGAUAAUCGAAAACAUGAGAUUGUAAAACGGAAAUUGAAACAAAAAUUCCAGAAAAAAACCAUAAAAAGAAAAAAAAAUACAAACCUUGAUUGAAGGUACUCAUUGCUUCAGUAGUUUGCCGCUUGAAAUCGACGACACACAACCCCGACGCCUGAAAAUAU